AAGGAAUAUUGGACAAUGGGCGCAAGCCUGAUCCAGCCAUGCCGCGUGAAGGAUUAAGGCCCUCUGGGUUGUAAACUUCUUUUGUAGAGGAAAAAACCCCCCGAUUCUUUGGGGGCUGAUGGUACUCUGCGAAUAAGCAUCGGCUAACUCCGUGCCAGCAGCCGCGGUAAUACGGAGGAUGCGAGCGUUAUCCGGAUUUACUGGGUUUAAAGGGUGCGUAGGCGGCUUUGUAAGUCAGUGGUGAAAGCUCCCGGCUUAACUGGGAAAUUGCCAUUGAUACUGCGUAGCUUGAGUACAGUUGAGGUAGGCGGAAUAUGUCAUGUAGUGGUGAAAUACUUAGAUAUGACAUAGAACACCGAUUGCGAAGGCAGCUCGCUAAACUGUAACUGACGCUGAGGCACGAAAGCGUGGGGAGCAAAC
rnacentral:rRNA from 1 species